UACGUAGGGUGCGAGCGUUGUCCGGAAUUAUUGGGCGUAAAGAGCUCGUAGGCGGUCUGUCGCGUCGAUCGUGAAAACUUGGGGCUUAACCCUGAGCUUGCGGUCGAUACGGGCAUGACUGGAGUUCGGCAGGGGAGACUGGAAUUCCUGGUGUGCGGUGAAAUGCGCAGAUAUCGGGAGGAACACCAGUGGCGAAGGCGGCACUCUGGGCCGGUAUGACGCUGAGGAGCGAAAGCGUGGGGAGCGAACAGG
rnacentral:rRNA from 1 species